rnacentral:rRNA from 1 species
UACGGGGGGGGCAAGCGUUGUUCGGAAUUACUGGGCGUAAAGGGCUCGUAGGCGGCCAACUAAGUCAGACGUGAAAUCCCUCGGCUUAACCGGGGAACUGCGUCUGAUACUGGAUGGCUUGAGUUUGGGAGAGGGAUGCGGAAUUCCAGGUGUAGCGGUGAAAUGCGUAGAUAUCUGGAGGAACACCGGUGGCGAAGGCGGCAUCCUGGACCAACACUGACGCUGAGUGAGCGAAAAGCCAGGGGGAGCAAACGGGG